rnacentral:rRNA from 1 species
UACGUAGGGUGCAAGCGUUAAUCGGAAUUACUGGGCGUAAAGGGAGCGUAGACGGUUAAGUAAGUCUGAAGUGAAAGCCCGGGGCUCAACCCCGGGACUGCUUUGGAAACUAUUUAACUAGAGUGCAGGAGAGGUAAGUGGAAUUCCUAGUGUAGCGGUGAAAUGCGUAGAUAUUAGGAGGAACACCAGUGGCGAAGGCGGCUUACUGGACUGUAACUGACGUUGAGGCUCGAAAGCGUGGGGAGCAAACAGG